rnacentral:lncRNA from 1 species
GUGGGAAGGAGGGGCGGCUGGCGUCCCUAGCGUACCCCGUGUUUCCUAAGCACACCGCUUUGCUUGGAGGUUCGCGCCCUGUAGCAAUCCGCGCUCCCUGCCGGCUGCAGUCCUGUCUCCCGUCCCCCCCGACCCCACGCCCCGCACCUCCCUCUGCCCCGUCAUCGGUGGAGUUCGCUCAGGCUGGGCACCACCCCGGGAGUGCCCCAGGCCGAACUGAAUGGCGCACGCGGCCCGGCACCAGUGGGUGGCUUCGACUGGGCCAGACCCAGGCCUCAAGUGUCCUCUUUGAGAUGGGCGGGACGCAGGGAACCGCACCACUAGAUUGGCAACAGGCGGACCACGCGCUCAUCCCUUUCCCGAGGCUGGAACUCUGCCUCACUGCUCUCCUUCCCGGUCCCCUGGCCUCACGUAUCUAGGUCUUACCGGCCUCCAAGUCUUCAAUGUCUAUAGGGCAUCUCCUCCCCAGCUUUGGGAAUCUGCCUCAAUUCUAUGCCCUCCCCAACUUGAAAACUUCACAAAUCUGAGGACUUCACUGUUUAAGGAAGUUGAACUUGCCCCAUCUCUAAGCAGCCAAGCUUGAAUGAAUCACCUUCUCCCCUCCACCAGCAACACUUCCCCACCCACCCACACACAUACAAGGGACUCCAAAAUAUCCAGUGAUUUCAACACUACCCCCCAACACACACACACACACAAAACUCCAAAAUAUCCAGUAACAGGGGCUGCAAACUUUGUAUCAAAAAUAUUAAAAGACAAGUAUUGUAUAACAAAG